AUGAAGAGGUUGGACAAUCCCAGCACUGGGGCAGGUGUGGGGUGAAAAGUCCUCUUGUUUGCUGCAGUCCUUCUAGAGCACCACCUGGCCACCGAUAAACAACCUACAUAUCCUUUGUGUCAGCAACAGCACUGAGUAUCAUCAAGUAAGAAGGGUGUGAAUGAUUUCCCAGAACACAGCAGGCACUGAAGUAUUCACUCAAAUAUUUAUCAAGCACCUAAAACAUACAUGGCACCGGUACCAUGGGUGCUGCAAAGAUGAGGAAGAUCUUCUCCACCCUCGAGAACCAGCUAAUCUAUUGAGGGCAACAGAAAAGUACACAUUUAGAUAUAAGACAUGGUGAACAUUAAAAAGGCACAAAAACUGCUAUUAACAACAGAGGACCCCAAAAAAGGAAGAGCCAUCUGAUUUUGAGGGAUUGAGGAAGGCUUUGCAGAAGAUUUGGCAUGUGAAACUGGCCUUGCGGUGCAGAAGAAGGAAGGAGGUGUUGGAUUUCAGGAACUCCUGAGAGUGGAAUGGUAAACAAACAGGCACCAUCCCUGCCUCUUAGAGUCUACAGACUGGCAAGGGCAUUAAACAAGUAUGAUGAGAAGACAAAGUUCAGGGAGCUAGGAGAAUAUCAUAAAGGCAAUUAUCAAAAAAUACAACAAAGCCCAGUGUUGAUGAGGAUGCAGGGAACUGAAACUCAAAUAUAGCACUGGUAGAAGGAUAAGUUGGCAUAAUCACUUUGAAAAGCGACUGACUACCUCUCACACAGGGACUUGUACAUCCAGAGACAAUGAAGUGCUCUAGGGGCCAUUGGCAGGGAAAAUAUUCUAGGUAUCCGUGAUGAAGAAAUCCAUGUACCAAACAGCUAUAAUGAAGGCUUAUGAAAGGAAAUAAGGCCAAGUCUUCAAAUGAGGGCUGGAAACAGUUAAAAACAUGAAGCUCAGCUUUAUCUGAUAACUUUACAUAAAUAAAAUAAGGAAGGAACUUCAAAAGGGAGAGAAGAUGUGGCUGGGCAUGGUUGCCAUAGUAGCAAAAACAUGCUUUUGCCUUUUUGUCAGUUCUUUCAAUAUUAUACUGGAGGGCAGUGGGGAGAGGCUCUACAGACUAGAGCUGGAGCCUAGGGGAAGAGCCAAGCGGGGACUAAGUUGUUUGAUCCUGAGAAGAAAAGAAGAAAGAGUUUAUCCAGAAAGUGUGCCUAGGGCUUAUGAGGAGGCAAAGUGGUGAAUGAAGCCUCCCCUGAGAAACAAGUCCAACUGGCAGAGGCUUCCCAGCAUGGAGACAUCUGGAAAAAAGGAAAUGGUACUUUUGGAUCACAUGUGAAGGUUUAAAAAAAUACAGCUGCCCUGGCUUCCUGAAAUCUGGAAAGCUUUACAGCAUGAAAGAAGAAUGGUUUCAUUGGAUAAUAAUCCAUCUGCAAUAAGAGCAAAGUCCAUACUACUAUUAAAUGUGUUUAUCCACUGA